rnacentral:rRNA from 1 species
UCGAUAAGAUUACCGCCCUAGUUGCAACCGUAAACGAUAUCAACCAUCAAUCCGUCAAAGCGUUCCCUUGAGUCUUCGGAGGCGGGCUUCGCGGCCCUCUUCGGGGACAAAGUGUAAGCGCUUGAUGGGCAGCUCUUCUAUCACGGGAAACCAGAGUGUUUCGGUUCCGGGGGGAGUCUGGUUGCAAAGCUGAAACUUAAAGGAAUUGACGGAAAGGCACCACCAGGCGUGGAGCUUGCGGCUCAAUUUGACUCAACACGGGAAAUCUCACCAGACCCGAACAUCUCUAACGAUUGACAGAUUGAAAGCUCUUUCUUAAUGAAGUGGAUGGUGGUGCAUGGCCGUUCUUAGUUGGUGGAGUGAUCUGUCUGGUUAAUUCCGAUAACGAACGAGACAUAAUUCCGAAUAACGAACGAGACUCUCCCCUGCUAACGGACCUUAGUGUUUUUCUAGACGGUGUGAUUCGGAGCAAGAGUCCAUGGGCGUAAGCCCCGGUCUCGGACGAUGUCCACUGAUCCUUGGUGCGUUGGUGUUCCGCGUGCCAUCGGAGAGUUGAGUGUUCGCAUUCUUCGCCUCUGUGGAUUUCUCGGUUCAUUGACAAAGCGCCUCGGAGUACGUUUCUUCUUAGAGGGAUUGACGACUUAUAAGUCGUAAGAAACAGGGAGCAAUAACAGGUCUGUGAUGCCCUUAGAUGUUCUGGGCUGCACGCGUGUUACAAUGCCGGUAUCAACGGGUUAUUACACUUUUAGUGGCCUACUCCGAAAGGAGUGGGUAAACCUUUGAAAACCAACUGCGUCUGUCUUCAUUGACAGUGCAAUUACGGCAUGCUUGGGACUGGGGAUUGCAAUUAUUCCCCACAAACUAGGAAUGCCUUGUAGUGGCGGGUCACAGAGCCCGCUGCGAAUCUGUCCCUGCCUUUUGUAUCA